GGGCGAGUGGCGAAAUUGGUAGACGCGCUAGCCUUAGGAGCUAGUGUCGCAAGACAUGGAGGUUCGAGUCCUCUCUCGCCCACCA
rnacentral:tRNA from 1 species